CGGUGAGCCCAGCUUGCUGGGUGGAUCAGUGGCGAACGGGUGAGUAACACGUGAGCAAUCUGCCCCUGACUCUGGGAUAAGCGCUGGAAACGGCGUCUAAUACUGGAUACGAGCUGCGAUCGCAUGGUCAGUAGCUGGAAAGAUUUUUUGGUCAGGGAUGAGCUCGCGGCCUAUCAGCUUGUUGGUGAGGUAAUGGCUCACCAAGGCGUCGACGGGUAGCCGGCCUGAGAGGGUGACCGGCCACACUGGGACUGAGACACGGCCCAGACUCCUACGGGAGGCAGCAGUGGGGAAUAUUGCACAAUGGGCGCAAGCCUGAUGCAGCAACGCCGCGUGAGGGAUGACGGCCUUCGGGUUGUAAACCUCUUUUAGCAGGGAAGAAGCGAAAGUGACGGUACCUGCAGAAAAAGCGCCGGCUAACUACGUGCCAGCAGCCGCGGUAAUACGUAGGGCGCAAGCGUUAUCCGGAAUUAUUGGGCGUAAAGAGCUCGUAGGCGGUUUGUCGCGUCUGCUGUGAAAUCCCGAGGCUCAACCUCGGGUCUGCAGUGGGUACGGGCAGACUAGAGUGCGGUGGGGGAGAUUGGAAUUCCUGGUGUAGCGGUGGAAUGCGCAGAUAUCAGGAGGAACACCGAUGGCGAAGGCAGAUCUCUGGGCCGUAACUGACGCUGAGGAGCGAAAGGGUGGGGAGCAAACAGGCUUAGAUACCCUGGUAGUCCACCCCGUAAACGUUGGGAACUAGUUGUGGGGUCCAUUCCACGGAUUCCGUGACGCAGCUAACGCAUUAAGUUCCCCGCCUGGGGAGUACGGCCGCAAGGCUAAAACUCAAAGGAAUUGACGGGGACCCGCACAAGCGGCGGAGCAUGCGGAUUAAUUCGAUGCAACGCGAAGAACCUUACCAAGGCUUGACAUACACCAGAACACCGUAGAAAUACGGGACUCUUUGGACACUGGUGAACAGGUGUUGCAUGGUUGUCGUCAGCUCGUGU
rnacentral:rRNA from 1 species